AGUAUAAUGCCACAGGCCAAGUUGUAGCGCUUGGUUAAACCAGCUUCUUUCAUUUAGGGCCCACUGCUAAUAAGAAUUAGAAAAACAUCGCAAAUUAUAAUCAAAAUACGUGCCCUAAACUCAGUCGUAUGCUAAUGUAUAUGUAUAUUUAAUGAGCCAUCCCAAAUGUAAAUAAAAAUGCGAAAAGUCAAUCUAAAACCCAACAAAAUCGUUAAUUAGUAAAAUUAUUAUUCGUGGACGUACGAUGAACACCAGCUGUCAUGCCAAUAGACACAGCACAAAUGAAUGAAUGAACACUAGAAACGUAUUCAAUUCUAUAUUCGCUUGUAAAAGCGUUCACCAGCGGUUAAUGAUUCAUGAAUUAAUCAAUACUCAUUUUUAAUAAGCCAACAACAAAAUCACUCCUUUGAGCUUUGUUUGAU